GCAGAAGAGAGGAAGGAAGCAGAACUGUCUGGGCACUGCCCUCCGCCGUUAUAUAAAGGAGCUUCUGAGAAAUGUGGUGGUCUUGUUGGUCAGAGACAGGCGUAGCUGCUGCCUUCAGGAAUAUGGUGUUUUAAGCGAGGCACCUGCGGACUUCAGGUUCUGUUUCAAUUUGUGGAUGAAGCAAGAAAGCUGCUGCCUGACAAGGAUGAGUUGCUUCGUUAAUUAAAUUAGCAGUGGAAACUUUACUGGCUUUAAUGAGUGUAAAAUAAGCCACAGAAAUAAAGAUAGUGAUUAAAGCAUGCUAAUCUGAUUAGAAUCGCAGUGUGCAGAGUUAUAGGCUACUUGAUAUUAGAGAAUCAUCGACUAAGGCCGGGAAGAGCCAGAGUCCUGUUUUAAAGAAGAGGAUGGUUGCCGAUGGCACACAAACUUGGAGCUGCUGCAGGAUUGCCAAAUUGCUUGGGGGGGGAUUAUGUGUGAUAAAUGCCAUGAAAAUCACGGGGCAUUGUUGAAAGAGUCCUGUUCGUAGAAGGAAGGGUUUUCUGAGCAUUCACAGUGAAAGGAGCUGAAUCCAACUUCAGUGCUUUCCCCAGCACAGCAAGAUUUACCAGCCGAGUUUCAGCCUCUCAGAAUUUCAAACAUAUGGAAAAUUGACAGAGUAGAAAGAUUCUAAGAUAUUUGUACUUUCUCUAUCCUGACCCGUACAAUGAAAGCAGUGUUCAUUUAAGACAGUGAGACAGAGAAUAUUCAAGUGUCUGCUGUAGGAGAGAAAUGCUGUCUCAUUAAAUUCAAUGCAGUACAAAUCACAUCUUUAAAUUAUUGCAUAAAUCCUUUCCAAUGCUCAGCUCCUUGGUCUAAGUUAGCAUAGAACUAAUUUUAGCUUCUGAGUGUAGUUAGAUGGAAACUGUCUAUUUUACUUCCACCAGUUCCCAGCCUCUCAUUUCCUGGUUUGUAAAAUUUCCAUUUGCCCCAAAGUCUGAAUGUUAAAACAGGUAGUCUGUCUUUGUCAUUUUCUGUGUCUAUAUACAG
rnacentral:lncRNA from 1 species